GCAAUUUCCACUAACUCUGCUCUUUAUCUCUGAAAAGGUCAAACCCCAUUUCGGUUUCCAUGUGAUGCGAGGCCAGACUUCAACCUCUUGGCCAUUGAACACCUGUUCAACUGGAUCGGCUACUUGAACUCCUGCCUUUCUGAGAAUACAGCUAUUUGCACGGUAGAUCGCCAUUUCCCCUGAAGUAGCACUGUGAUAAGGGUUUCCCUUCGGUACCUUAGCAGCAUCUUCGGGGUUAUUCUUCACU
rnacentral:misc_RNA from 1 species